rnacentral:rRNA from 1 species
GAUGAACGCUAGCGGCAGGCUUAACACAUGCAAGUCGAGCGGGCCUUUCGGGGUCAGCGGCGGACGGGUUAGUAACGCGUGGGAACGUGCCUUCUGCUUCGGAAUAGCCCUGGGAAACUGGGGGUAAUACCGGAUGUGCCCUGAGGGGGAAAGAUUUAUCGGCAGGAGAUCGGCCCGCGUCUGAUUAACUAGUUGGUGAGGUAAUGGCUCACCAAGGCGACGAUCCCUAGCUGGUUUGAGAGGAUGAUCAGCCACACUGGAACUGAGACACGGUCCAGACUCCUACGGGAGGCAGCAGUGGGGAAUAUUGGACAAUGGGCGCAAGCCUGAUCCAGCCAUGCCGCGUGUGUGAAGAAGGCCUUCGGGUUGUAAAGCACUUUCAGUAGGGAGGAAGCGUUGUGUGUUAAUAGUACACAGCGUUGACGUUACCUACAGAAGAAGCACCGGCUAACUCUGUGCCAGCCGCCGCGGUAACAC